rnacentral:tRNA from 1 species
GGGGGCUGUGACUCAGUGGCAGAGCGUCUGCCUGCCGGUGCAGGAGGUCUGAGGCUCAAUUCCCAGCAUCUCCA